GACGAACGCUGGCGGCGUGCUUAACACAUGCAAGUCGAGCGACGCUCUUCCUUCGGGGAGCUGACGGAGCGGCGAACGGGUGAGUAACACGUGGGCAACCUGCCCCUAGCUCUGGGACAACACCGGGAAACCGGUGCUAAUACCGGAUACGACAUCGAGCGGCAUCUCUCGAUGUGGAAAGUUUUUUCGGCUAGGGAUGGGCCCGCGGCCUAUCAGCUUGUUGGUGGGGUAAUGGCCCACCAAGGCGACGACGGGUAGCCGGCCUGAGAGGGCGACCGGCCACACUGGGACUGAGACACGGCCCAGACUCCUACGGGAGGCAGCAGUGGGGAAGAUUGCGCAAUGGGCGAAAGCCUGACGCAGCGACGCCGCGUGAGGGAUGACGGCCUUCGGGUUGUAAACCUCUUUCAGCAGGGACGAAUUCAGACGGUACCUGCAGAAGAAGCACCGGCCAACUACGUG
rnacentral:rRNA from 1 species